CACCAGGUGCAUUCCUUAUCAAGGUUCUCAAGGUCAAGCGCUUCAAAAAUUUUGAGGUUAUGUAGUUGUGUUUGUAGUGUUCAAGUUGUUUAAAAUAUAAACAAAACGGAAUUUGGAUGUAUAAAUUUUACUUUUAACGUUGUUUUUUGGUUAAUUGUGGCAGUUAAUGGUUCAAGUAUGGCAGAGGAGCCAGACAUGCGAACGAAAAAACUCGUCCACGAGGGAUGCACCAUCCACAAGGAAAAGCCGUUCGUGUACGUCCUCAGCUCGAGGCUGAGGACCGAGCGCUGCGACUACUGCCUCAAAAAGGGGCAGUUCAUGAAGUGCUCGGGCUGCCACUACGUGCACUACUGUGGAAAGAUCUGCCAGAAGGACGGCUGGAGUGUGCAUAGAUUUGAGUGUAGAAACCUGAAGCGGGUGUCUCCAAGGGUGCUUCCAGACGCGGCGAGGCUUCUAGCCAGGUUGAUCCAGAUUCUGCGUAAAGGAGGCGAUCUGGUGAAGAGCUACUACCUGGAGAAUUGUUUCAGGAUGUACAAGGACUUGAUGUCGCACUAUCCAAAUAUCAAAGGCGAUAAACCCAGAAUGGAGCAUUUCACGUCUUUGUGCGCUGUUUUAUUUGAGUUUUUGGGCGAUGAUAUUCUUCCAAAUUCGGCUGAGUUGAUGGGCAUGUAUGGAAGGAUGUGUAUUAACAGCUUUAAUAUUAUGGACCAGGAGUUGCAGUGUUUAGGCACGGGAAUGUACCUAGGAGCGUCGGUUAUUGAUCACUCGUGCACUCCGAACGCCGUGGCCACUUUCGAGGGCCCGGUCCUGUACAUCCGGGCUCUAAAAACGUUCCAUUAUUUGGACUGGUCGCAGAUCCGUAUCAGUUACAUUGACAUUUUAAACACAACAAAAGACAGACAGAAAGAACUAGAGACGGCCUACUACUUCCUGUGUCAGUGCCCCAAAUGCCUGGGCCCCGAGCCGCCGGAAAUCCAGGCUGCCGCAUGCCCCAACCCAACCUGUGAUAACUCCAUCGACGCCCAGAACGCGAGUCCAGGCGACAGCUGCUCAAAAUGUGGAACACCGAUCUCCGAGACAUUCUUGUCCAAUUUUAACGAAGUCCUAGAGUUCACCGACAUGCAUCUACAAAACAUGAAGCAAAUGGCCUGUAUCCUUUCCAGGUGUUCAGUCCGCGGUUCGCGCCGUGACGUGUCUUCCUUAAGUAUAUACUUAGAUCUGGACGUGUGCGAAAUCUGCUUGCAGAAACAACGCGGUGUGUUACACAAAUACAACAUAAAACACGUCAAGACACUAGAUUUAGCUUUUCAAUCGAGUAUUGACUUUCAGAAGUGGGAUUUUGCCAGGACGCUCGCCCUUGAGCUAGUCGACGCUUAUUACAAGUACUACGGCGGCGUGCAUCCGGUGACGGGUCUGCUGCACCUAAAGCUGGGGAAGAUUCUGCUGUUUGAGGAAAGCGACGAAUUGGCGCUGGAGCAUCUGACCACUGCGUACAAAAUUUUGAAAAUCACGCAUGGUGUAGGCAGUAGUUUGUUCAAGGAGGAAUUGGGGCCGCUGCUAAAACAAGCGCAGAUGGCUUUGACUCAGGGAUGAGGUGUGGUCUGACACAAUCCCGGAAAUUUUUAUAAGGUGGAUAUUUUAGACUUGUUUAAUUUAAUUUUUAUAAUGAAAACAGUGUGUUGAAGUACAACUCACGAACUUAGUCAAGUCGGUUUGGGAAGCAAGUCGUUAAUAAAAAUGACGAAAUGCAGAUGUCUCCCGUUGGAUCCCUGAAGGACACCUUGUUAUUUUUUAAUUUUGUUGAUAAAUAAGUGAAGGUGUUGUUGAUGGGCUCACUACAGGGAUCACAUGUUGGCUGCUACCCCCAGGGGCCCUAAACAAGACCAAGUCUGUGAUAUGUGCCAUUUUUAAAGUGUGAUGUACUGUCGAUGUAACACAUUAAUAAAUAAAUAAUU